rnacentral:tRNA from 3 species
GCCGGUGUAGCUCAGCGGAAGAGCAUUCGCUUCGUAAGCGACAGGUCGUCGGUUCAAAUCCGUCCACCGGCU